ACGAACGCUGGCGGCGUGCUUAGCACAUGCAAGUCGAACGGUGAAGCGCCUUCCUUUUUGGUGGGUGUGGAUGAGUGGCGAACGGGUGAGUAACACGUGAGUAACCUGCCCCCUUCUUCUGGAUAACCGCAUGAAAGUGUGGCUAAUACGGGAUAUUCUGGGUCUGUCGCAUGAUGGGUCUGGGAAAGAUAUUGUUUCGGUGGGGGAUGGGCUCGCGGCCUAUCAGCUUGUUGGUGGGGUGAUGGCCUACCAAGGCGGUGACGGGUAGCCGGCCUGAGAGGGUGGACGGUCACACUGGGACUGAGACACGGCCCAGACUCCUACGGGAGGCAGCAGUGGGGAAUAUUGCACAAUGGGCGCAAGCCUGAUGCAGCGACGCCGCGUGAGGGAUGGAGGCCUUCGGGUUGUGAACCUCUUUCGCCAGUGAAGCAGGCCUGCCUCGUUUGUGGGUGGGUUGACGGUAGCUGGAUAAGAAGCGCGGGCUAACUACGUG
rnacentral:rRNA from 1 species